ensembl:lncRNA
UCGCAGCACACUGUCACAUCCGAGAGGCCGAUUCCAACGUGUGGCUGCAGGCGAGAGGCCGCCGAGGAUCACAGGGAAGAAAAGCCCCCCCCCCCUCAUACCCCCUGAUGCCCGCCCCCCCCCCUCCCCUCCUCCUGCUGGGGGAAGCCCGGGACGGAACACCGAGGCUCUUUGAGGCGAGUCAACGUGGAGCUUUGGGGCUCCGAGCUGGAACGGGACCGGCUGCACGCUGCUGGUGUUGCACCGCGUGGAGCGCUGCAGAGUCAAACUCUAUGGAAACUGACAGAAGGCCGUGGCCCCCGAGGAUGGUGGGAAACAAACACGCAAAGGGCCCGCGGCUGUAGUGAGGAUGCAUGAGUUUGGUGAGUAUUUGACAUGGAUACAUUAAUGAAACUGCUCUGCGUGGACUACUUUUUGUUUUUACAGUACCUCCAUCAUUUAAAAAACGGAUCAUUUGGCUGGACAAAGAAUUCCAGACCUCGGCUUCGCUACACAGAAGGAACACCUGAACUGUUUCCCGCGGUGGCUCCCGCAGAAUAUUCUAAAGUUGUGUUUUAUUUCCUCGGGAGUCUCAGAGAUCAGACGUCUAUGAGGCUGAGUGAGACAUGGUCCUCAACCAGAGGACCAAACAGCCGAGGUGUUUGUGACUUUUAAAGGUCAGCAUUAGCUACCUGUGAUGCCCACCGAAUACCAAGCAACCCCCCCGCCCCCCCGCCCGACUCCAUCCUUUGGUUUUAUCCUUCCAUCAUUAAAACGUAGAGUUUCAAAACAACCUGAAUGAAUUAAUGGAGUACUCUCCGCUCGCGCUUCCCGGGACUGCUGCGUGACCUUGGAAACGGAUGGUCGGCGGGCUCGCUCUCGCCGCACACACCUGGCGCCGACAGGUUUGAGGGACGACAGGCCGAGGAGGCCUCCGCUCGGUUUACGGAGAGCAGAUGGCAGAGACACGAUGAGGAUUUGUUAUCUGCCCCCCUUAACAAACAAUAAAAUCCAUGUCGCCGCUUUGUUUUGUUUGUUGGAGCGCGGCGCCGAAAAUGGGAGGAAGUCAGACGACGCCCUUGGAUGGUUUUGGAAGUGUUAGCGGAGGGGAGAGGAGGGGGGAGAGAAAAGGCUUUCUGAUUUUAAUACGAUCAGUCACCUGGGACCAACGGUGGAAAACAAGCCGGGACUAAUUAGUAGCAAGAAAGUCAAGCUUGUUCUAACAACAGGCGGCCACUCUGCUAAGUGUUUGUGUGUCUGUGUGUGUGU